rnacentral:misc_RNA from 1 species
AAAUGCGAUAAUUAAUGUGAAUUGCAGAAUUCAGUGAAUCAUCGAGUCUUUGAACGCACAUUGCGCCCCCUGGUAUUCCGGGGGGCAUGCCUGUCCGAGCGUCAUUGCUGCCCUCAAGCACGGCUUGUGUGUUGGGCUUCCGUCCCUGGCAACGGGGACGGGCCCAAAAGGCAGUGGCGGCACCAUGUCUGGUCCUCGAGCGUAUGGGGCUUUGUCACCCGCUCCCGUAGGUCCAGCUGGCAGCUAGCCUCGCAACCAAUCUUUUUAACCAGGUUGACGUCGGAUCAGGUAGGGAUACCCGCUGAACUUAAGC